CCUACGGGUGGCAGCAGUGAGGAAUAUUGGUCAAUGGACGAGAGUCUGAACCAGCCAAGUAGCGUGAAGGAUGACUGCCCUAUGGGUUGUAAACUUCUUUUAUAUGGGAAUAAAACGUUCCACGUGUGGGAUUUUGUAUGUACCAUAUGAAUAAGGAUCGGCUAACUCCGUGCCAGCAGCCGCGGUAAUACUGAGGAUCCGAGCGUUAUCCGGAUUUAUUGGGUUUAAAGGGAGCGUAGGUGGAUUGUUAAGGCAGUUGUGAAAGUUUGCGGCGCAACCGUAAAAUUGCAGUUGAAACUGGCAGUCUUGAGUACAGUAGAGGUGGGCGGAAUUCGUGGUGUAGCGGUGAAAUGCUUAGAUAUCACGAAGAACUCCGAUUGCGAAGGCAGUUCACUGGACUGCAACUGACACUGAGGCUCGAAAGUGUGGGUAUCAAACAGGAUUAGAUACCCGGGUAGUC
rnacentral:rRNA from 1 species